rnacentral:rRNA from 1 species
UGAGGAAUAUUGGUCAAUGGUCGCAGGACUGAACCAGCCAUGCCGCGUGCAGGAAGACGGUCCUAUGGAUUGUAAACUGCUUUUAUACAGGAAGAAACCCUCCACGUGUGGGAGCUUGACGGUACUGUAGGAAUAAGGAUCGGCUAACUCCGUGCCAGCAGCCGCNGGUAAUACGGAGGAUCCAAGCGUUAUCCGGAAUCAUUGGGUUUAAAGGGUCCGUAGGCGGUCUUAUAAGUCAGUGGUGAAAGCCCAUCGCUCAACGAUGGAACUGCCAUUGAUACUGUAAGACUUGAAUGCUUAGAAGUAACUAGAAUAUGUAGUGUAGCGGUGAAAUGCUUAGAUAUUACAUGGAAAUACCCAAUUGCGAAGGCAGGUUACUACUAAAGUGAUUGACGCUGAUGGACGAAAAGCGUGGGGAGCGAACAGGAUUAGAUACCCUGGUAGUCCACCCGUAAACGAUGGAUACUAGCUGUUCGGCGCAAGUUGAGU